UUUUUUUUUUUUUUUUUUUUUUGAGACAGGAUCUUAUUCUUUCCCUGAGGCUGGAGUACAGUAGCAUGGUCAUAGCUCACGACAGCCUCAAAUUCCUAGGCUCAGGUGAUUCUCCAACUUCAGCUUUUGGAGUAGCUAGGACUACAGGUAUGUACCACCAUAUCUAGCUAAUUUUUUAAUUUUUUAGUAGAGACAGGGCUUUGCUAUGUUGACCAGGCUUGUCUCAAACUCUAGGCAAUCCUCCCACCUCAGCCUCCCAAAGUGCUGGGAUUACAGAUGUGUGAGCCACUGUGCCCAGCCACAUUUUGUAAAUUUUUAACAGUAAAUAUAUUUAACAUUGUAACUACUAUCACAUAUAUUUUUAAUAGUACAGUGCCUUGUAUAGUGCUUAUAAUAACAGAAGUAUAAACUGUUAAAACUUGAAGGGAGAACUGGAACAGGACUUAGUUUCCUUUACAGUCCUUUUUUGUCCCCUGCCUCCCACCCCUCCUCUUAGCCGUUUCUGGAUACAUAGUGUAUUUGAUCAAUAUAGUGGCAGAAUAUUGCUCUUCCAGAAGCAAAGUUCCCCAGUCCUCCUUCUGACUCCAACAAACUCUGCAUCUUUUAAUGAGCUGCUUAACUAGCCUAGCCUUCAGUUUACUCUUUUGUAAUACUAGAGAACUGGACAUUUGCUAUCUGGUUUCUUCUAUCUCUGACUUUCCCUGAUUCUGUGGAAGUUUUAUCGUAUUAUUCUAACUAAAAGGCAAGUGAUUCUGAGGUAGACAGUGGAAUACCAGUUUAUUAGCUUGCAACAAAAACUAAGUGACAUAUGGACAAAAAUCCUUGAAGCCUGUGUUAUUUAUUCAUUUUCUUAAGCCAGCCAGGCAAUGAACGUACUGUUUUACAGACAAAAAAAAUAGUUAAAUAUUAUCAAUUCAUAAGGUUUAACUUAAUACAUGAAAAGACAAUAAUAAUCCCUGUGUACUUUAUUGGUUAAUUUUGAAGUUACUAUCAUGUCUAUAAAAAUACAUGACAUUCAAAUCAUUCGAAAAUUCUACAGUAUGGAUUGACCAGCUUUGGAAUCAAAAGUGUGCUUGUUGAGUUUGGAAUCAGAGUAAGAGGCAUCAGCACAAUCAAGCUACCUAAAGGUGUCAGAAUAAGGUAGCCUGAAACACCUACAUACCCACCUGGAGAUUCAAAAUCUGUUGCCUAUAACCUCCAUAUGCCAUUUCCACCUGAGGCAUAACCUUACUGGUGGAACUAAGAAUGCUUGAAAUCUGUUAAGGGUGGAAGGCUCCCUCUUGUUUGCACACUGCCAAAGUUGGGCUCUGCCAAAGCUGAGAGCCCGGUGCCUCUCCUUUCUCUUUGCUUUCUGGCUGGACCCAAACUUCUUUUUUCUCUAGAAGAUUGGUCCCUUUGGGUGACUCAGCAUAUCAAUCUCCUUGUCCAGGUUGCAGUUUAAUGGUCUAAAGUCCUUCUUAUUUUAUGAUGUUCCUGGUUUUUGAAAGAGGAGAGCAAUUCUCUAUAACGCCCAAGAAAUGAUGCCACAUUUUGCUCCUUUAGUGCAGUAAAAGAUCCUUUUGGGCCACAACAAGUAACUUUUCUUCAAAAUCUCAGGCUGGGAAGGAAUUAAAGUUACCUAUGAAGUCACUGGCAUGCCAGGCACCUCUACAAAGAUGUUACCAGCUACUUCACUGUCCAAGAAAAGAAGCACCAAAUGCACCCGCAAAUCAGCUUCAUAAUUCACAGAUGGGCGUUAUUGACAAUGUACACCAUCUGGCAGCUUCCUUUUUUUGACUAAUUUGUCUUGCUAACUAGGCUCAGUUAUGGUCUAUGCUGCUGAGGAAGUGCCUGUGCUGUCAGCACGUAUAUAUACACCAAGUUUUAUGAUUGAACAACAACCUUAAAAUCAUUAUUUAAAAAGUUUUCUUUCUCUGAAUUUUAGUUACCCAGCCCUAGAUACUGCUUUGCUUUUACAUACGUAUCCUCGGUUUUUACAUAUAUGAUGUUGACUGGAAAAUGUUAAAGGAUUUUAAAAAAAUCAAUGGGAAGAAAUGUAUAUGGGGUGCUGAAAUAGUAAAUAUUGGGGAAUCACGAAAGCCCUAAGUUCCAAAAACCCAGCUAAAUAUGCUAGCUAUUGUCUGGCUUAUAGUUCUAAACUCCUUAUUUUAUAUGAAUUCUGUAGACUCUCUGGGGUGGUCUGUACACCUAACAUUAUUCUAUGGUGUUUCUAUUCUGAAGAUAGAUAUCAUUAAUCAUACCUUUCUUCCUGCUCAAUAUCCUCUUUAUUUUAACUAGGAAAAAGAAAAUUGUAUUAUCCCUUGGUAUACAGUUGCUAUAGAAUUGAUUAAAUACAGUUUCAAUAACUUUCUCAUUGUAGUUAGACCUUGCAGUUUUUAUGAGAAACUGUCGUGCCUAUUGACAGAUUGUCAGAUCUUUUUAAGUUAUAUGAGACAGAAACUUGACUCGAACUAGCCUAAGAAAAACAUUAGCCUCUAUUGAUCCACCACCUUGUAGAGAAGAAGAGUAAAUGGCACCAGGUAUGACCAGAUAAAGGACACAAAUGGUAUCUUCGGAUUGCUUUCUCUCCACUGCUCAGCACUUCCUCUCAUUUUGUGUUAGCCUCAAUCCCCCCUAUUGCUUUCGAGCUUUCUUGUACUAGCAGGCAAGAUAGCUGGUCAGAUCUUUUUAAGUUACAUGGGACAGAAACUUGGCUCAGACUAGCCUAAGAAAAACACUAGCCUCUAUUGAUCCACCACCUUGUAGAAAAGAAGAAUAAAUGGCACCAGGUAUGACCAGAUCCAGGACACGAAUGGUGUCUUCAGAUUGCUUUCUCUACACUGCUCAGCACUUCCUCUCAUUUUGUGUUAGCCUCAAUCCCCCCUAUUGCUUUUGAGCUUUCUUCUACUAGCAGGCAAAAUAGCUGGUAACCACCCCAUCCUGCAGGAUACCAGCUUAGCAUCUCCAAAGAAAAGGGAGCCAGUCCUUUCCUUUCAGUGUUCAUAUUGCAAUCCAAGGAAAGUGCUCUGUUGGGCCCUGGUUGAUCACUUACCUACCAGUGAACCAAUCAUAGAAGCCAAAAUGGGAUGGUAUGUUCCCAUGACCAAACCUUGGUCAUUCUUUUGGCAGAGGAUGGGGGAUUAGGCAGUAUUUGUCAACAGAAAAGGAGAAAAGGAUGCUUGCAUAUUAGCAUAUAAACAGUAGCUACCGUGGCUUAGUAUACUAUCUGAGAAUAAAGGCAUAUACAAUAUUAUAUUUAACUUUUCAUUACGGUAGCCAACCACCCUAGAUUUUCUGGAGCAAUCCUGAUUUCAAAAACACUAUCCCACUGAGUGACCAUGUGAUCAAAAUUUUGUGUUGGAAACGAAAUCACUCUAUCCUAAGGCUUGCAGUGAUUGGCUUUCACAUAAGCAUAUUUUGAUAGUUUUUACAUGACUUAAUCUACAUAUUUCUUAAAUUUUUAAUUAAAAUGUACUAGUGCAUAAAUUCAAGAGGAACAUGAUCAACAAUAGGUGAUAAAGAAAGUAGGAAAACAGAAUUAUAAAGGAAAAAUAGUUUGAAGUUUUAGGUGAGCCUUCAAACCUUGCCAGCAAAUAUUCCUAGCCAUAUAUAAACUUGUAUAACUCCCAAAACUGACAUUGAGGCUACCGUUUUCCCAGCACUUUUCACAAGCUCCUUAAUUAUGCUUUGAAAUUUUACUUUACAAACGAUUACUUUUUAAUGAGAGAGCUCAUUAUUUUCCAUUGGCAGUACUUCAUUGCCAAGCACUACCAUUUCAUAGGAGGUGGGCAGACUUUAAUUUCAGCAGCAGCACAGGGCUCCAUUAUGUUUUUCUGUUCAUAUUGGCCCAAAUUCUCUGUCCUUUCCCCCUGCUGCCAGAAUAAACAUUUCUCCCCAAUAGGCAUACACUCUCAACCCUUGGAACUCAAAGCAGCUAUCAGGAGGCUACAAAUUAAUCUGUUCCGCCUCCACUAACAGAUGCCACGCUGGCGCUGGGCACUUCAGCCAAACUCUUGGGAUUUACAACAUUAAGAGUAAGUGCAAAAACUACAAGCAUUCAAAAGACACUCAUUUUAUUUAACUGACAGAUCUUGGCAUUUUAUGAAAAAAAAAAAAUGGAAGCACAAAACCCUUUCUCCUUACACUUCUCAAGUGAUUUUUCCUUUUUCCAAGCACAAUGCUCUUUUCAAUAAGUCCUAAAUGAGCACAACAACCAGAUGUGACCAGAAAAACUGCAGGAGGCACCACAAAAAUGCAUUAUGAUAAAUGCCAUCCAAAGCUUUGGGACCCAGGGGACUUUUCUUAAAGUCACUGCCCACCGCACUCUUACAACACAUGCAUUGCGAGAGUGGAGGGAAACCCAUAGGCGGGUAAGACUUGUGGAUAUUGUGUGCCUCGCAACAUGAGUCAUUCAAGAGGUGCGGCUGGUGCAAAAGCAACAGCAUGUUUUGGAAAGUGGAUUCAAAGCAGGAGAAUAUGUUUGCUAUCUUAAUGCCAUAAAAAGAAAAAAAGUACAACAGCCCAGGCUUUUAGGAGCCAGGAGAGGGUUGGAGUGUGCAGUGUCUGAUGCAAAAUCCUUUUAAAGACUGCCCAUUUUUCCUUAUUCUUUUAUUUCCUGGUGAUAGAACAGAAAGCACUCCGUGGCAUGCAACUGACACAUCAUUUUAUGCAUCCAAGUGCUUUAUUCGCUUAACUGUUUUUUUUUUCCAGCAAUUUAAAUAAAUCACACAGAUGGAAUUAGAUUUUCCUGAAGAGCUAGAGAAAGGCAAUGAGAGGCUGAGUCACAGUUAAUUUCUACUGAGUUGAUAGAAAUUUCACUCCCUCCAUUUAGGUGAGACUCAUGUAGUUUGGAAAGUAAUGUCUGGCAUCUUAUCAACCUACUAUAAAGGCUGCUUAAGCUCCUGACUAAUGAGGCUCUGAAACAUUUCUAAUGAAUGAUGGGGGGAGGAGUAUGAAAUGCCCUCAUGUUUAUUCAUUUCUUCCUUGUAAUGCCGGCUGAUAGACCGACUGAAAGAUUGAACACUUAAAUAAUUAACUCAUUUAAAGUGUGAAUUAUAUGCAUGAUUUGCCUGACAUGCAACUUGUGAAGUGGAACACACAGUAAAAUCUCUCCAGUAGAGGUGGGGAGGAGAGUAAGUUAUUUUAGUUCUCGUUAAUCCGGGAAGGAACAUUUAGUAAGAGAAUCAGACAUUAAAAGGAAUGGAGAAGCAGUGGAUCAGAUACUCAAUUUUCUUCCUACAGAGCAGGGCUGGCAACCUUUUCCUGUAAAGUACCAGAUAGCUAAUAUUUUAGGCUUUGCAGGCUAAAUGGUCUCUGUCGCCUCUACUCAGCUCUGACAGGAAAGCAGCUAUAGACAUAGGUAACUGAAUGGGUGUGGCUAAGCUGCAAUAGAAUGCAAUUUAUGGGGAUUUAUAUUGAGUUUCAUAUAAUGUUGAUGUGUCACAAACCCUUGUCUUCUUCUGACUUUUUCAACUACUUAAAAAUGUAGAAAACAGGUUGGGUGUGAUGGCUCAUGCCUGUAAUCCCAGCACUUUGGGAGGCCGAGGCGGGGUGGAUCACCUAAAGUCAGGAGUUCGAGACCAGCCUGGCCAACAUGGUGAAAAACUAUCUCUACUAAAAUUACAAAAAGUAGCGGAGCAUACUGGCACACAUCUGUAAUCCCAGCUACUUAGGAUGCUGAGGCACGAGAAUCACUUGAACCUGGUAGGUGGGGGUUGCAGUGAGCCAGGAUCAUGCCACUGCUACACUCCAGCCUGGGUAACAGUGAGACUCCGUCUCAAAAAAAAAAAAAAAAAUAAAAAA
rnacentral:lncRNA from 1 species